rnacentral:rRNA from 1 species
AACGGGAUCCAGAUCAAAGCUUGCUUUGGUUUGGUGAGAGUGGCGCACGGGUGCGUAACGCGUGAGCAACCUACCCUUGUCAGGGGGAUAGCCCGGCGAAAGUCGGAUUAAUACCGCAUGACAUCAUUGAGAGGCAUCUUUCGAUGAUCAAAGAUUUAUCGGACAAGGAUGGGCUCGCGUGACAUUAGCUAGUUGGUAAGGUAACGGCUUACCAAGGCUACGAUGUCUAGGGGCUCUGAGAGGAGAAUCCCCCACACUGGUACUGAGACACGGACCAGACUCCUACGGGAGGCAGCAGUAAGGAAUAUUGGUCAAUGGACGGAAGUCUGAACCAGCCAUGCCGCGUGCAGGAAGACGGCCCUAUGGGUUGUAAACUGCUUUUAUACGGGAACAAACGUCGGUACGUGUACCGGUCUGAGUGUACCGUAAGAAUAAGGAUCGGCUAACUCCGUGCCAGCAGCCGCGGUAAUACGGAGGAUCCGAGCGUUAUCCGGAAUUAUUGGGUUUAAAGGGUGCGUAGGCGGCCAGAUAAGUCAGGGGUGAAAGUCGGCAGCUCAACUGUCGCAGUGCCUUUGAUACUGUUUGGCUUGAAUUCGGUUGAAGAUGGCGGAAUGAGACAAGUAGCGGUGAAAUGCAUAGAUAUGUCUCAGAACCCCGAUUGCGAAGGCAGCUAUCUAAGCCGUUAUUGACGCUGAUGCACG